CCAACGGCUCUUUUAAGAGCCACCCAAGUCCCUCAAAGAGACGGAU
rfam:Gasterosteus aculeatus cont1.013958, whole genome shotgun sequence.